rnacentral:lncRNA from 1 species
CAUUCUGGAAUAAAGCAAAAGAGUGUUCCUUCACAGACACAGUAGCUUCAGAUCUGUUCAAUCUGUUUGUUCUCAGGUAGUUUUCUAAUGAUGGAAAAAAAUGACUUUGGUCAUCAAACUACUGUGGCCACAUUAGAUUACCGGAACAUCUAAGCAUCAGUGUGUGACCAUGCGAACGAAAGACUUCGGGGAGUGUCUGUUUUUAAAAAGGUUUCUGUGUGUCGAGGCAGUUGUAAAAGAUUUACUGCAGAAUCAAGCCCACUUUUAGGCUUAGGACCAGGUUCUAACUAUCUAAAAAUAUUCACUGAUAACAAAAAGUGUUCCAAAUAUAGCUAUUCUGAUUCAUAGUUGUUUUUUAAGGAAAAAAAAAGUAUAUACAGAAAGACUAUAAAAGUUUUUGUGAAUUUAAUGCAAAUUAGCUUCCAGUCUUCACUUCCCAAAUACUUGAUUUACAGUUUUGACUCCUUUACAUUUUUGCCUUUUUAAUUUCAAGAUUUGUAAUUUUGCCUUCAAAACAGAUCUUUUUUUAAAUUGUAAAAAGUAUUCAACAUAUGCAGAAAUAAAAAGCAUUUUGAUGGCCGGGCACGGUGGCUCAUGCCUGUAAUCCCAGCACUUUGAGAGGCUGAGGUG